rnacentral:rRNA from 1 species
UACGGAGGGUGCAAGCGUUAAUCGGAAUUACUGGGCGUAAAGCGCGCGUAGGUGGUUACGUCAGUCGGAUGUGAAAGCCCCGGGCUUAACCUGGGAAUUGCAUCCGAUACUGCGUAGCUAGAGUCUGGUAGAGGGUAGCGGAAUUCCAGGUGUAGCGGUGAAAUGCGUAGAUAUCUGGAGGAACAUCAGUGGCGAAGGCGGCUACCUGGACCAAGACUGACGCUGAGGCGCGAAAGCGUGGGGAGCAAACAGG